UUACUCAGGGAGGUGACUCGGCUCCCUGGGGUUGGGUCUCUAUUUGAAAGCCUUCCUUCUGAAUACAACUUGCAGGGAAUGAAAUGACUCUGUUUUGAAGAAAGAAAUCUUCACACCUUUGUCAGGAACAGCCAGACACACCACAGCCAUUCUUUUGGGUAGAAACAAAAGUACGGAAGAUUAAUUGGCCACCUUCAGGCACUAAAAGAGAUGAGCAUUUGAAAUAAACAUAAGGGUACUGGUACUUCCAUCAGCCCAGCAUUCUUCAGUGUUCUCUAUGUGAUGAAAAUAAAGCACAUUCCUCCUUCUGAACCAUCACCAGCAUGGAGCUCUCCACAGAGAAGCUAAAGACUCCAGCACACAGGUGACCUCAUCUCUCCUGCAGCAAUUCACCGAGGACUGAGGCAGCCCAUGGACCAAACUUGGAGAUUACAAACUGUAUCUGGAUCCACAGGUUACAAUUUUCCCUUUGGCUA